rnacentral:rRNA from 1 species
UACGGGGGGGAGCAAGCGUUGUUCGGAUUUACUGGGCGUAAAGGGCGCGUAGGCGGCCACCGCAAGUCGACUGUGAAAUCUCCGGGCUUAACCCGGAAAGGUCAGCCGAUACUGCGGGGCUAGAGUGCAGAAGGGGCAACUGGAAUUCUCGGUGUAGCGGUGAAAUGCGUAGAUAUCGAGAGGAACACCUGCGGCGAAGGCGGGUUGCUGGGCUGACACUGACGCUGAGGCGCGAAAGCUAGGAGAGCGAACGGG